CCUGAAAGUAAUGCUGUUAAUUUCUUUCUUUGUCUAUCAAGAAUUAAGGAAAAAUUAGCGUAAAGCAGCAAUUCACAGUAUACUCAGUGAAGUCAUUCUAUACACAUUGACUAGUGUUUGGGAGAAACAGAGAAACAGAAAAGAGGAGGAAGAACUUAAACAAGAUUAGUUGUGUCUUGUUGUUGAUACACUUUAUCAGCGAGAAAAGGAGAAGAAUAUAUACUAAUUAUCAAGGAAGAAAACCUAUCAGAUCAAGCUUUAGGAACGUACAAUGUUGACUUUGAAACCGCAGAUAACGGAAACCUGAGAUUCGUUUGUUCUGAAGCUUCAAAAAAUGUCAUAACAGACAUUUGCUGGCCAUCACUUUGUUUUUGUUAAAUUGAACACCGGUUAUGAUGGGUCAUGGUUGUUUUCGAUGUGAUGCAAAUGCAAUCUUACAAGUACAUGAAAACCUUGUGCGAAGAGCUGACACGGUAGAUGUUUUUUAUUACUGCAAGUGCAGAGUAGACCUUAACAAGCCAAUUGUGAUUGUUCAUAAAAAAAAGGUGACCGCCCCAAGUGGAAAAAGUGAAGAACAUUGUUGCAGAUAGGUAUUUUGAUUUCCUAAUUUAUAAGAUAUCUGCAAGCGCAAAGACAGAUGUUCAAAAGCCUUUCCAAAUGCUUCUGAAGAGGUUGUCCUGGCCCCAAGUGCUGCUGAUGAAGUUGUUAAGGCCCCAAAUGCUGGUGACAAGGCUGGUCACAAAAGCAAAACAGAUGGUAGAAAGUUUAAUUCUGUUGCAAGAUCGGAUCCACCUUGUUCAAAGACAAUAAGGCUCGAUGAUUAUUUAGAUGAUUUUCUAAAGGGUCAGAAUCCGAGUCGGUGCUUCUACUAAGAGAGCAGUAACAACUACUCAUUCCUGCAUAAAGAUAUGUUGCAUAGAUACAGAUCCUCUCUGGAGUCUGGAUGUUUUUAUAUUUCUUAGAUUGAAUUUUCAGUGUCCUUGCUAACAGUGAAGUGAUGCAGAGAAUGUAGUGUGUUUUUCUAUUGUUGGUAGUAUCAUGUUUCCACAUGUUCCUGUAAACAGAGAAUUUUCAGUGGUUGAAGCAUCAGGUUGAAAUUGUCAUAUCAGGAGAUGUAGGUGCUGAAGCUAUGAUAGUCAGGCCCAAGUUUAUUUGAUGUAUUAGGCUUUAGCCAAGGGUAACAAGCACAGCCAACCACUCUGAAGCUUUGAUAGUCAGUCAGGCUGGUGACCAAACAAUUUCAUGCAAGGACUGAGACAAGCAAUAGAAGCAGUUGGUAAAGAGUUUUUAAUUACAUUAGCAGUGAAAUAAGCUUCUAAACCUCUAGGAAAUAUAAUGUUCAUGUAUCAAUAACACUACUGUGAAAAGCAAAUAAUAUUGCCUCCUUGGCUUCGUCUUCAAAGAAGCAGAUCUUUGAUUUGUUCAAAACUAGUAAUAAAAUAUGAAAGAAC